rnacentral:rRNA from 1 species
GUUGCGCCCGAGGCCGUCAGGUCGAGGGCACGCCUGCCUGGGCGUCAC